rnacentral:misc_RNA from 1 species
AAGUCGUAACAAGGUUUCCGUAGGUGAACCUGCGGAAGGAUCAUUAACGCAUUCUGGCGGGUGCCGGCGCGCCCUGCUCCGGCCUUCCAAAGGGCCGUGCAGCGGGUGCCCGGUCCCGUCCAACCACCACAAACCCACUGUGCACAUUCACGGCUUUGGGCCCCUUUGUUUCAGAGGGUGCCCCAGAGCCGCUUCACCAAAACUCCAAAAUCGAACGAACGUGGUAGCGGCCUCGGUGUCGCCUAACAAACAGAACAACUUUCAACAACGGAUCUCUUGGCUCUC